rnacentral:rRNA from 1 species
GACGAACGCUGGCGGCGUGCUUAACACAUGCAAGUCGAACGGAAAGGCCCUGCUUUUGUGGGGUUCUCGAGUGGCGAACGGGUGAGUACCACGUGCGUAACCUGCCCUUGACUUUGGGAUAACUUCCGGAAACUGGGGCUAAUACCGGAUAGCACCUCCUGCCCCAUGGUCGGGGUUGGAACGCUUCGGCGGUUGGGGAUGGACUCGCGGCUUAUCAGCUUGUUGGUGGGGUAGUGGCUUACCAAGGCUUUGACGGGUAGCCGGCCUGAGCGGGUGAACGGCCACAUUGGGACUGAGAUACGGCCCAGACUGCUACGGGAGGCAGCAGUGGGGAAUAUUGCACAAUGGGCGGAAGCCUGAUGCAGCAACGCCGCGUGCGGGAUGACGGCCUUCGGGUUGUAAACCGCUUUCGCCUGUGACGAAGCGUGAGUGACGGUAAUGGGUAAAGAAGCACCGGCUAACUACGUG